UUAAAGUGCGAUGUAAGUGGAGUUGUGUACGAUUGCAAUUAUGUAAAACUCCGCUUGCAUCGCACUUUCA
rnacentral:miRNA from 1 species